rnacentral:rRNA from 1 species
AGUCGAGCGAGGAGAUCCCUUCGGGGAUAACCUAGCGGCGGACGGGUGAGUAACACGUGGGCAACCUGCCUUAUAGAGGGGAAUAGCCUUCCGAAAGGAAGAUUAAUACCGCAUAACAUUACAUUUUCGCAUGAAGAAGUAAUUAAAGGAGCAAUCCGCUAUAAGAUGGGCCCGCGGCGCAUUAGCUAGUUGGUGAGGUAACGGCUCACCAAGGCGACGAUGCGUAGCCGACCUGAGAGGGUGAUCGGCCACAUUGGGACUGAGACACGGCCCAGACUCCUACGGGAGGCAGCAGUGGGGAAUAUUGCACAAUGGGGGAAACCCUGAUGCAGCAACGCCGCGUGAGUGAUGAAGGUCUUCGGAUCGUAAAGCUCUGUCUUCAGGGACGAUAAUGACGGUACCUGAGGAGGAAGCCACGGCUAACUACGUGCCAGCAGCCGCGGUAAUACGUAGGUGGCGAGCGUUGUCCGGAUUUACUGGGCGUAAAGGGAGCGUAGGCGGAUUUUUAAGUGAGAUGUGAAAUACCCGGGCUCAACUUGGGUGCUGCAUUUCAAACUGGAAGUCUAGAGUGCAGGAGAGGAGAGUGGAAUUCCUAGUGUAGCGGUGAAAUGCGUAGAGAUUAGGAAG